CCUACGGGGGGCAGCAGUGGGGAAUAUUGGGCAAUGGGCGCAAGCCUGACCCAGCAACGCCGCGUGAAGGAAGAAGGCUUUCGGGUUGUAAACUUCUUUUCUCAGGGACGAAGAAAGUGACGGUCCCUUAGUAAUACGCCACGGCUACCUACGUGCCCGCAGCCGCGGUAAUACGUAGGUGGCAAGCGUUAUUCGAAUUUAUUGGGUGUAAAGGGCGUGUAGGCGGGAGCGCAAUUCAGAUGUGAAAGCUUAGGGAUAAACCCUGAGCCUGCAUUUGAAACUGUGUUUCUUGAGUGCUGGAGAGGCAAUCGGAAUUCCGGGUGUAGCGGUGAAAUGCGUAGAUAUACGGAGGAACACCAGUGGCGAAGGCGGAUUGCUGGACAGUAACUGACGCUGAGGCGCGAAAGCGUGGGGAGCAAACAGGAUUAGAUACCCCAGUAGUC
rnacentral:rRNA from 1 species